rnacentral:rRNA from 1 species
UUGACCCGGCGAUGUCCGAAUGGGGAAACCCAGUGUGUUCCGACACACUAUCGUUAACUGAAUACAUAGGUUAACGAGGCGAACCGGGGGAACUGAAACAUCUAAGUACCCCGAGGAAAAGAAAUCAACCGAGAUUCCCCCAGUAGCGGCGAGCGAACGGGGAGCAGCCCGGAGUCUGAAUCAGCUUGUGUGUUAGUGGAACGGUCUGGAAAGUCCGACGGUACAGGGUGAUAGUCCCGUACACGAAAACACACUUGCUGUGAACUCGAAGAGUAGGGCGGGACACGUGGUAUCCUGUCUGAAUAUGGGGGGACCAUCCUCCAAGGCUAAAUACUCCUGACUGACCGAUAGUGAACCAGUACCGUGAGGGAAAGGCGAAAAGAACCCCGGCGAGGGGAGUGAAAAAGAACCUGAAACCGUGUACGUACAAGCAGUGGGAGCACCUUCGGGUGUGACUGCGUACCUUUUGUAUAAUGGGUCAGCGACUUAUAUUCUGUAGCAAGGUUAACCGUAUAGGGGAGCCGAAGGGAAACCGAGUCUUAACUGGGCGUUAAGUUGCAGGGUAUAGACCCGAAACCCGGUGAUCUAGCCAUGGGCAGGUUGAAGGUUGGGUAACACUAACUGGAGGACCGAACCGACUAAUGUUGAAAAAUUAGCGGAUGACCUGUGGCUGGGGGUGAAAGGCCAAUCAAACCGGGAGAUAGCUGGUUCUCCCCGAAAGCUAUUUAGGUAGCGCCUCGUGAACUCAUCUUCGGGGGUAGAGCACUGUUUCGGCUAGGGGGCCAUCCCGGCUUACCAACCCGAUGCAAACUACGAAUACCGAAGAAUGUUAUCACGGGAGACACACGGCGGGUGCUAACGUCCGUCGUGAAGAGGGAAACAACCCAGACCGCCAGCUAAGGUCCCAAAGUCAUGGUUAAGUGGGAAACGAUGUGGGAAGGCACAGACAGCCAGGAUGUUGGCUUAGAAGCAGCCAUCAUUUAAAGAAAGCGUAAUAGCUCACUGGUCGAGUCGGCCUGCGCGGAAGAUGUAACGGGGCUAAACCAUGCACCGAAGCUGCGGCAGCGACGCUUAUGCGUUGUUGGGUAGGGGAGCGUUCUGUAAGCCGUUGAAGGUGUGCUGUGAGGCAUGCUGGAGGUAUCAGAAGUGCGAAUGCUGACAUAAGUAACGAUAAAGCGGGUGAAAAGCCCGCUCGCCGGAAGACCAAGGGUUCCUGUCCAACGUUAAUCGGGGCAGGGUGAGUCGACCCCUAAGGCGAGGCCGAAAGGCGUAGUCGAUGGGAAACAGGUUAAUAUUCCUGUACUUGGUGUUACUGCGAAGGGGGGACGGAGAAGGCUAUGUCAGCCGGGCGACGGUUGUCCCGGUUUAAGCAUGUAGGCGGAGGUUCCAGGUAAAUCCGGUACCUUUUAACGCUGAGGUGUGAUGACGAGGCACUACGGUGCUGAAGUGAUAAAUGCCCUGCUUCCAGGAAAAGCCUCUAAGCAUCAGGUAACACGAAAUCGUACCCCAAACCGACACAGGUGGUCAGGUAGAGAAUACCAAGGCGCUUGAGAGAACUCGGGUGAAGGAACUAGGCAAAAUGGUGCCGUAACUUCGGGAGAAGGCACGCUGAUA